rnacentral:rRNA from 1 species
AACAAACGCUUGCGGCGUGCCUAAUACACGCAAGUCGAACGAUGUAGCAAUACCUAGUGGCGCACGGGUGGGUAACGCGUGGAUAAUCUGCCUUUGAGUGGGGGAUAACUAGUCGAAAGAUUAGCUAAUACCGCAUAAGACCACAGGAACUGAGGUUCUAGGGGUUAAAGGUUUUUCGCUCAUAGAUGAGUCCGCGUGAGAUUAGCUAGUUGGUGAGGUCACGGCUCACCAAGGCGACGAUCUCUAACUGGUCUGAGAGGAUGAUCAGUCACACUGGAACUGAGACACGGUCCAGACUCCUACGGGAGGCAGCAGUAGGGAAUAUUGCACAAUGGAGGAAACUCUGAUGCAGCGACGCCGCGUGAGUGAUGAAGGCUUUCGGGUCGUAAAGCUCUGUCGCAGGGGAAUAACACAAUGAAUGUACCCUGUAAGAAAGGAUCGGCUGACUUCGUGCCAGCCGCCGCAGUAA